rnacentral:pre_miRNA from 1 species
AAUCCGAGAGCCUUAAGGCUUGCUUGUUGGUAAUUUUGCAUCUGUUGCACAUGCGAUUUUACCAAAAUGCAAUUCUUAUGGUUCAGUGAUCAGGAA